CCGUUCAGGGGUAAACGGGAGAAAUCCUGAAUUCGAAAGGGGCCGGAUUCAAGUCCAUCCUGAUUGUUCAGGCCGCUCGGCCCCGCCAGAUGGUGCCGGUCGCCCGCGGCGAUUCAUUUCGCUUGCGGUGUCGUUCCCGGUGCUCACUCGGUGGGGUGGCGUUGCUCUGGCGUCGGAGGAGUGCACUUCCACCCUAGUAGAAACGUCGCGACCCGUUGGGUGCCGGUCUAAGGCCCGGGAUGGCAGACCACGUGUCCUGCGGGGGUCCUCGCAGGCGCGCGGACUCCUGGUGUCCCGGCCGGCUGCCCGACGGUAAGACCAGAGGGGUCGAUCCGCUACUUGGGAAACACUUUGGUGUGUAGCGUCCGGCCCGGUGCCGACACGUGCGGGGAUUAAGGUGCAAGCCGUGGGUGUCCGUGCGAAGCACGGCCCCUGCCCCGCCGCGUCGUCGGAUUUGCCGGUGUCCUCGGACUGGAUCGCAACCCCCGUCUGCGACGCCCACCUUCGGAUGGUCUCCCGACCCGUCUUGAAACACGGACCAAGGAGUCUAACAUGUGCGCGAGUCAUUGGGUGGCACUAAACCUAAAGGCGCAAUGAAAGUGAAGGCUGCUUUUGUGUGGGCGGCCGAGGGAAGAUGGUACUGGGUACCCGGGGGCCUCGCGUUCCCGGGCCCGGCCCGCAUUCCCGGGGCGUCUCGUCCUCACUGCGAGGGGAGGCGCACCCAGAGCGUACACGUUGGGACCCGAAAGAUGGUGAACUAUGCCUGGCCAGGACGAAGUCAGGGGAAACCCUGAUGGAGGUCCGUAGCGAUUCUGACGUGCAAAUCGAUCGUCGGAGCUGGGUAUAGAGCCGCGAGACGGAUCUCGAGUGCCAAGUGGGCCACUUUUGGUAAGCAGAACUGGCGCUGUGGGAUGAACCAAACGCCGAGUUAAGGCGCCUGAAUCGACGCUCAUGGGAGACCAUGAAAGGCGUUGGUUGCUUAAGACAGCAGGACGGUGGCCAUGGAAGUCGGAAUCCGCUAAGGAGUGUGUAACAACUCACCUGCCGAAGCAACUAGCCCUGAAAAUGGAUGGCGCUGAAGCGUCGUGCCUAUACUCGGCCGUCAGCGGCAUUGGGAGUGGUCGGGGCCCCGGUCCCGGCGCUCGAAGAAGCCCUGACGAGUAGGAGGGUCGCGGCGGUGAGCGCAGAAGGGCAGUGGCGUGAGCCUGCCUGGAGCCGCCGUCGGUGCAGAUCUUGGUGGUAGUAGCAAAUACUCCAGCGAGGCCCUGGAGGACUGAGGCGGAGCAGGGUUUCGUGUGAACAGCCGUUGCACACGAGUCAGUCGAUCCUAAGCCCUAUGUGAAAGCUGAUGCCGAUGGGUGGUCUGAAGGUGCGGGCCGAUACCCCCGGCGGGCGAAAGGGAAUCCGGUUCCUAUUCCGGAACCCGGCAGCGGAACCGUUCCGAUUCGGGCCCUCGCGAGAGUGUUCGUCGGGGUAACCCAAAAGGACCCGGAGACGCCGUCGGGAGAUCUGGGGAGAGUUUUCUUUUCUGUAUGAGCGUUCGAGUUCCCUGGAAUCCUCUAGCAGGGAGAUAGGGUUUGGAACGCGAAGAGCACCGCAGUUGCGGCGGUGUCCAGAUCUUCCCCUCGGACCUUGAAAAUCCGGGAGAGGGCCACGCGGAGCAUUCGCGCCGGUUCGUACCCAUAUCCGCA
rnacentral:rRNA from 1 species